AACGAACGCUGGCGGCAUGCCUAACACAUGCAAGUCGAACGAGACCUUCGGGUCUAGUGGCGCACGGGUGCGUAACGCGGGGGAACCUGCACUUAGGUUCGGAAUAACUCCCCGAAAGGGGUGCUAAUACCGGAUAAUGUCUUCGGACCAAAGAUUUAUCGCCUUUGGAUGGGCCCGCGUUGGAUUAGCUAGUUGGUAGGGUAAAAGCCUACCAAGGCGACGAUCCAUAGCUGGUCUGAGAGGAUGCUCAGCCACACUGGGACUGCGACACGGCCCAGACUCCUACGGGAGGCAGCAGUGUGGAAUAUUGGACAAUGGGCGAAAGCCUGAUCCAGCAAUGCCGCGUGAGUGAUGAAGGCCUUAGGGUUGUAAAGCUCUUUUACCCGGGAUGAUAAUGACAGUACCGGGAGAAUAAGCUCCGGCUAACUCCGUG
rnacentral:rRNA from 1 species